UAGAACUGUAUGGAGUCCAUUGAUAGGAC
rnacentral:piRNA from 1 species